rnacentral:lncRNA from 1 species
AAUAUUUUGUAUUUUGACAACUACAUCCGAUUUGGACAUCGAAACGUCAAUAAAAUCUUUUUUUUUACUUAAAUUGUGGCUUAUUUCCCAUUUAGAAUAGUUGUUCAUAAAAGAUUUGUAAAAAUGUUUGUUCUUCAACACCCUAUAUCUUGAAAACGGAUGGCUCAUCAAUGGCUGAUCAAAAACUUUUUACUAAGCAAACCCCAAUUAUUUUUCAGUUUUGACCUAUCCUAGAGACGGUGUUACCUUUUUAUGAAACACCCUGUAUAUACGGCAUGCACCUUCCUUCGUGUGAAAGACAAAUACUUUUUCAAGAAAUUGCAACGUGUAUGUAUUUAUUAAAGCUACUAGUUAAAUCAUAAACUAUUACUAGAAAUUUUUGAUAACGUAUUUAUCUCUAUUAAUAAUGUAACAGCUACGGCCUCACUAUUAUCAAAUUAAUACACUUAGGUCCGGUCUCAUUAACAACAAAUAAAUCAAUAAAUAGUUAUUCGUCGAAUAAAAUUUAUUAGACGUUUAUAUUUUUAUUUUGUUUCAAUAUAAUUGUGAUAAUAUUUAAAGUUAAACUGACGAAUUUACUUUCUUAUAACUAUUUACAGCGAGAUUAUCUUGCCAAUUUACUCGAAGAGUAAAUAUUUAUUUAAUAAAUAAAUAAAAUAAGUCUUGUUUGACGUUAGUAAAAUUGAGAAAUGUCAGUACGUCAGUCAGUAUUGAAAAUGUCAGUUCGAAUAACUUUACUUUAUUCAUAAAAUAGACUACUAUUUGUCGUUGGUGAAACCGGCCAUUAACCGCAAAAGUUUUGAACCACUAAAUAUUAUGCUCAUUUUAAUAGUUGAUUUUUCUUGAACCGAUUAACGGAUUCCGCUAUUUUUUUAUUAUUGUAGAUUUUUUCUUUGGUAUUGUUACACAGCUUUAAAAUCGAUUUACAACAACAUAUUGUUUACAAUAUUUUUAAUACAAUGACAACUAUAAACUUCAAAAAUUCAAAUACAACUGUUCCAGACUUAAAUAGGUACACAUUUCGGAAUUUUUCGAUGACAUCUUGAAUAUUCGAGAAGUUAACUUACUCUUUCCCGUCAAGAAACUUUUUCUAUGUAGGAUCAAUCUCACGAAACUGUCGUAACACUGCUCCUUCUUUUAUAGUUAUUCGCCUCGAUUAACUGGUCUAUCAGGGACUGGUGGAAGCCAACAGGGUGGAUCAGUUCCCUGAUAUGAGGCUAAUCUCUCCAUAUGAACUAAAUAUAAAUGUGUCGUAUAAAUAAUAAGAACGUGGUAUUAUAAAAAUAAUUAUUUUUCAAAUCAAAAUGUCAAUUUUAAAAACAAAAGAAAACUUCCAACGCGGGGAAUCGAACCCGACUCGCCUGGUGAAAACCAGGAGCUAGGUAUUUUAGGCCAUGAUGGAUGUAAGUCACGGAGAUAAAUAUUUGACAUAUUAGUUGUAGGGUUUUUCCAUCUAGUUUCAUAUUUUAUCUUUUUUUGCCUAAAAGCCCCGGUUUUGGGUCAGCUGACACAUCAUUUGUUAAUAAGCUUUGGAACACCUGACUAAAUAAACAAAAAACAGCCGUGCUAAAAUGCUCCGUUCAAAUGUGGCACUACCUCCCGGGCUAUAAGUCUCCCAUUCAAUUAAAUACAAACGCUCAGCUAGCCCAAAGUGAAAGUAUUCCUUUGUAUCCGUUUGGAUACAGGUGGCCUAAGUGAUCAAAGUUAUUUGUAUCUAGAUGUAAAUGAUGCAACUGGCGUUUAACGUGUUAAAAUAUCAUGACAGCGUCCGCACGGUCCCAUAACGCACCCUUGAUCUUUACUGAUUUUCGACGGAUCUCCCCAGACGUGUCUGUGCUACCACGGACGAAGUUUUCUCACGGUGCGUGGUGCGAGCUGGUCUGUGUCCGUCCGCGAAAUUGUCGAUCUUGGGAAGACGUUGUUACUACGGACCAGCACAGACGCGUCUGUGCUACCACGGACGAUACACUUCCCACGGUGCGUGGUGCGAGCUAGUCCGUGUUCGUCCGCGAUAUUGCCGAUCGUGAGAAGCCGCUAUUAUGUUGCACUGUGCAUAUCGCUCACCUGGUCGACGAAUAACUAUUAAGCGUCAAUCCAAACUGAUUAUAGAAGCAAAUGGGUAUCAGUUUACAAUCCGACAAGCCAGAGUUGGCGCGUGACCUUGCGCGAAAAUACACAGCGAGAAAUAAACAAUAGGAGAAGGUCAGCCGCCAGUUCUCGCUUGUCGGAUUGUACGUCGUUUCUUUCUAUUUUAAAAUUUUGUUAACUGUUGUUAUGUAGGUACUUUUCACUAUUAAUUUAGUAUAUUUUCAGUUAAAACACAUGUUGAAGAAUAAAACUGUUUAUUUUCAUUGUUUUUAAAGUAAUCAGAGAAAAUAAAAAUACAAAAUGUUCACAAAACAUAAAACUACAACAUUAUUUCAAUGUUUUUCCACUUUUGUACCUUGUCCUCCAUACAGGGUGUCUCAAACUUAACAUAAACAUUUCCUUUCUUCCACCCGGGACUAGCCAAAAAGAUAGGUUUGAAUAAACCUUUGUCCAACAGUGUAAAUGCCAAAGAGAAAA